rnacentral:rRNA from 1 species
UGGGGAAUAUUGGACAAUGGGCGCAAGCCUGAUCCAGCAAUGCCGCGUGUGUGAAGAAGGCCUGCGGGUUGUAAAGCACUUUCAGUGGGGAAGAACGGAUACGGGCCAAUACCCCGCAUCACUGACGUUACCCACAGAAGAAGCACCGGCUAACUCCGUGCCAGCAGCCGCGGUAAUACGGAGGGUGCAAGCGUUAAUCGGAAUCACUGGGCGUAAAGCGCACGUAGGCGGCCCGCUAAGUCAGAUGUGA